AUAAUGAUACUCCCGCCUUGAACGCGUCACAGCAUUGGGCGGCCUCACAGAAGGUGGGGAGGGUGAGAACCCUGUGG
rfam:Subdoligranulum sp. 4_3_54A2FAA genomic scaffold supercont1.1, whole genome shotgun sequence.